rnacentral:misc_RNA from 2 species
ACGAGUUUUUGAAACGGGUUGUUGCUGGCUUCCAAAAAGGAGCAUGUGCACGCCUGACUCAAUCCACUCUCAAACCCCUGUGCACUUAUUGUAGGCUUGGUGAUUGAAGAGCUCGCAAGAGUUCUGAUAGAGCCCUGUCUAUGCUUUUACAAACGCUUCAGUUUAAGAAUGUUACUCGCGUAUAACGCAAUAAAUA